AGUCGAACGGUAACAGGCCGCAAGGUGCUGACGAGUGGCGAACGGGUGAGUAAUGCAUCGGAACGUGCCCAGUCGUGGGGGAUAACGCAGCGAAAGCUGUGCUAAUACCGCAUACGAUCUAUGGAUGAAAGCGGGGGACCGUAAGGCCUCGCGCGAUUGGAGCGGCCGAUGUCAGAUUAGCUAGUUGGUGGGGUAAAGGCCCACCAAGGCGACGAUCUGUAGCUGGUCUGAGAGGACGACCAGCCACACUGGGACUGAGACACGGCCCAGACUCCUACGGGAGGCAGCAGUGGGGAAUUUUGGACAAUGGACGAAAGUCUGAUCCAGCAAUGCCGCGUGCAGGACGAAGGCCUUCGGGUUGUAAACUGCUUUUGUACGGAACGAAACGGUCUGCUUUAAUACAGCGGGCUAAUGACGGUACCGUAAGAAUAAGCACCGGCUAACUACGUGCCAGCAGCCGCGGUAAUACGUAGGGUGCGAGCGUUAAUCGGAAUUACUGGGCGUAAAGCGUGCGCAGGCGGUUAUAUAAGUCAGAUGUGAAAUCCCCGGGCUCAACCUGGGACCUGCAUUUGAGACUGUAUAGCUAGAGUACGGUAGAGGGGGAUGGAAUUCCGCGUGUAGCAGUGAAAUGCGUAGAUAUGCGGAGGAACACCGAUGGCGAAGGCAAUCCCCUGGACCUGUACUGACGCUCAUGCACGAA
rnacentral:rRNA from 1 species